AACGAACGCUGGCGGCAUGCCUAACACAUGCAAGUCGAACGAGACCUUCGGGUCUAGUGGCGCACGUGUGCGUAACGCGUGGGAACCUGCCCUUAGGUUCGGAAUAACUCCCCGAAAGGGGUGCUAAUACCGGAUAAUGUCUUCGGACCAAAGAUUUAUCGCCUUUGGAUGGGCCCGCGUUGGAUUAGCUAGUUGGUAGGGUAAAAGCCUACCAAGGCGACGAUCCAUAGCUGGUCUGAGAGGAUGAUCAGCCACACUGGAACUGAGACACGGCCCAGAAUCGUACGGGAGGCAGCAGUGGGGAAUAUUGGACAAGGGGCGAAAGCCUGAUCAAGCAAUGCCGCGUGAGUGAUGAAGGCCUUAGGGUUGUAAAGCUCUUUUAGCCGGGAUGAUAAUGACAGUACCGGGAGAAUAAGCGCCGGCUAACUACGUG
rnacentral:rRNA from 1 species